GUGUUAAUGGAUCUGGGGUUAGGAUUUCGUCAGUUAUUUUUGAUCCCUGACAGAACACUCAACAACUACAAUCUGAGGUUCCACUCAACAACAACAAAACUGCUUGCACGCAACAACAACAGUAGUCUGAACUUACACUCAACAGCUACAUCAAUAGUUUGGGCUUAAACUUUGAUGAUUCUGAAAUUAUAUUCAACAGCUACAACAGUCCAAGCUUACCCUCAACAACUACAAGAACAACAAUCUGAAGUUACACUCAAUAACCACAACAUCCAGUCUAUGGAUACUCAACAACAGCACAUUACACUCACCAGCAGCGUGAUCACCUUCAACAGUCUGAAGUUACACUCAAUUACAAUAAAAACAGCACACGGUCUGAGCAGUGUUGUCUUAAGGUACACCGGGCAAUUAUCCAGGGGCCUCACAGGUCUAGGGAUCCACUUAUAAUCUGUGUAUUCUGUGGCUUGAUGUCAAAUAAAUACUACAGGGUCCAGUUCAUUGACUUGCCCAGGGAACUACAAUGCAGCUAAGCUGGCCCCGAGUCUAAGAAUGGUUACUAUUCCACUGACUAAGUAUGUUAAACCAAUGAGAUAGCCUCUGUGUGGUCACUAAACAUGCUAGAAAUAGCUGCUAAAUCUCCCUCAAACCACACACUGUCGUUUUAGAAAAGGACGAACACAUUGGACAAUGUAGUCCGACCUAAAAUGACAAUGGUCAGUGGUAGGCUGUCUCAAUCAUGGUUGGCAUUAGGCUAAACAAAAACAGAUAUGAUCGAGUUUUGAUAAUUUAUUACGUUUAUGAUAUUGAAUAAGCUUCAUAGAAAUACCUAUCAGCUUAAAUGGUAAAAAAAAAAAA